rnacentral:rRNA from 1 species
AUGCGCCCGCGGGUGGAAAAAAUCACCGUGGAGUGUGAUCACCAUUCACCAAUAGAGAUGCUCACUGGAACCUUCCAUGAAAAAAUCCAUAUAUAUCAUUCUUUGUCUGCCCCAAGAAUCAAUCACCGCAACUGUCUGUCUUGCGCGUCAGCUGCGCCGUCAGGGAAAUGGACGUGGAAGCAGCAGAGUCCUUGCGUGCGCAUCGACAUCGUAGGUACACAUGCAUUGAUUAUUCGAUGUAUGGUAAUUUUCCUUUUUGCAAAAGCUGAAAGGCACAUGAUGUUGGUUGGUGUCUCAGUAGUUCGAAAAACCAGGAAAGUCAAGAAACACUUAGAUUGGGGAGUUAAAAUGUUUGAGCUGAUUGCAAAUGAGUUCUUCAGAGUUGUGCAUGGCUGGCGGGUGGGGGUGAACAGGAUCACGGCGACGCGAGGGAUGAACCUUCUUUGUCUAGAUUCUGUCUACUGCAAUGCCUCCUCUGAAGUCUUCUUUUGUUGCUUCUGCAUAACGCAUGCGAAUGUUGGAGUUGAUGGUAAGUUCACAUGUGAGACCAACAACAGAAUAAACAAAUGCACUUCUGUCCACAUGCGGAUUAGAAACCUUCCAAAAGACUUAAGUAAACAAAUGAACCGCGUGGCUAUCUCAUGGGUCGGUGUUGUCCAUGGCGACGGCGGCGGCACCGGCGAUAAUGGCGGUCAACGGCGCAGUGGGCCGGCGCUGUGGUGGACUUCCCGGUGGAUCCGGUGGUCAGAUGUGAUACGCGCCUUGCCGCCGGAUCUCGAUGGAGGGGGCGAGGUGGGUAGCAGACGGGACGAGGUGGCACCGGAGUCUUCUGUGGCGGCGCUCGUUCAGGGUUGUCAAGAUGGUGGAGCGAUGCGGGUCAGGAUGUGUACCAAUCCUACAGAGUGUGCACCAUGCACCAAUAGGAUGGGGGCUCUUGAGAAGUCAAUUAGAGGGUUUGCGGACAAGAGCGAUAAGGAAGUUGUGAAGCCAGGGUUAGGAACAAAUUUUGACUCGUUGACGGAGGUGUAUGACUUCUACAACCUAUAUUCCUGGGAACAUGGUUUUGAAAUCCGAUACGGGGAAAGCAGGCUGAACCCAGAGAAAAAGGAAGACCAUGCAGGAAAUUGUGUGUGCAGAUGCUCGGGGAAGCUAUUGAAAUCUUCUCAGGCAAAUACUGUAAUAGCCACCAAUGGUUUGAUGACAUUGCUUAUUGCAAGACUUGACCAUCGAAAAGUUAUUGCUUGUUUGACUCUGCUGAAACUAAUAAAGGUUGGGACUUUACCGAAGUGCACCACGUCCACCAAAACCAACACCGACAUGUGUAGCAAACUCGAUCUAUCUUGUGUACUCGUCAGCUAUUUCACUACAUCCAGUGGGAUCAUGGGUGUAGUUGAGGAUAUUGAGAUGUGA